UUACGGCCAUAUCACGUUGAAACACCGGUUCUCGAACGAUCAGCGAAGUUAAGCAAUGUCGAAACUGGUUAGUACCUAGAUGGGUGACCGUUUGG